UAUUUGAGUGCUAGUGAGAAAAACAAAUGAAAGUUCUUUGCAGUUCCUUUCCUGUUACAAAUAUUAGUCUCGUCUACAAUUGUUUUUGUACUGUGAAGUUAAUAUAUUCAGCUGUAGAUGUCGCUGUUCAGCAAAGUUUGCCAGCAAUAUGAAAAUAUGUUUUUGGAGCACACAGUAUUUAUUAAUGUAGUUAGUACUAUUAAGGAUAUUUUCUUGAUGCUGAAUAAGAUGACAAAAGACACCAUAAUGUGGUCGUCAUGCACAACAACUCAGCUUGUAGUUUGGUAUUAAAAUGGACCAUGUAAAUACGGUGAAUUGGACCAAAAAUCACAUUGUUACUAAGACAUAACAUGACGUUAGUUUACCUUUAUGAACCACUUCUUUAAGGACUCCAUUAAAGCGCUUUCAUAUUUAUUUCUUUGAACGACUGGAACAAAAUUGAACAGUACUUGCACCUAUUUUAGCCAAACUGUUAAUUAAGCCGCGAAGAAGAGAACCGGAUGUGACGUCACAUAAACAGUAUUUUUUUCCGGGACGAGGAAAAGACAACUUUAUGCUGCGAGGCCAGCGGACAGACGAACGAGCUUGGCGACUAAUUUUGUCCUGAAAACCAUAAUAAAACAACAUCUAACUUGGACAA